GAUGAACGCUGACAGAAUGCUUAACACAUGCAAGUCAACUUGAACUUCGGUUUGGGUGGCGGACGGGUGAGUAACGCGUAAAGAACUUGCCUCACAGAUAGGGACAACAUCUGGAAACGAAUGCUAAUACCUGAUAUUAUGAUUAUAUGGCAUCGUAUAAUUAUGAAAGCUAUAUGCGCUGUGAGAGAGCUUUGCGUCACCUUGGCUAGUUGGAGAGUUAACGGCUCACCAAGGCGGUGAUGGGUAGCCGGCCUGAGAGGGUGAUCGGCCACAAGGGGACUGAGACACGGCCCUUACUCCUACGGGAGGCAGCAGUGGGGAAUAUUGGACAAUGGACCAAGAGUCUGAUCCAGCAAUUCUGUGUGCACGAUGAAGUUUUUCGGAAUGUAAAGUGCUUUCAGUUGGGAAGAAAAAAAUGACGGUACCAACAGAAGAAGUGACGGCUAAAUACGUGCCAGCCGCCGCCGUAAGAC
rnacentral:rRNA from 1 species